CCUACGGGAGGCUGCAGUGAGGAAUAUUGCUCAAUGGGCGCAAGCCUGAACCAGCCAAGUAGCGUGAAUGAAGACUGCCCUACGGGUUGUAAACUUCUUUUAUAGAGGAAUAAAGUGAGGCGCGUGUGCCUUUUUGUAUGUACUUUAUGAAUAAGGAUCGGCUAACUCCGUGCCAGCAGCGGCGGUAAUACGGAGGAUCCGAGCGUUGUCCGGAUUUAUUGGGUUUAAAGGGAGCGUAGAUGGGUUGUUAAGUCAGUUGUGAAAGUUUGCGGCUCAACCGUAAAAUUGCAAUUGAUACUGGCAGUCUUGAGUACAGUAGAGGUAGGCGGAAUUCGUGGUGUAGCGGUGAAAUGCGUAGAUAUCACGAAGAACUCCGAUGGCGAAGGCAGCUUACUAAACUGCCACUGACAUUGAUGCUCGAAAGCGUGGGUAUCAAACAGGAUUAGAUACCCUUGUAGUC
rnacentral:rRNA from 1 species